rnacentral:rRNA from 1 species
AGUGAACGCUGGCGGUAGGCCUAACACAUGCAAGUCGAACGGCAGCACAGUAAGAGCUUGCUCUUACGGGUGGCGAGUGGCGGACGGGUGAGGAAUACAUCGGAAUCUACUUUUUCGUGGGGGAUAACGUAGGGAAACUUACGCUAAUACCGCAUACGACCUACGGGUGAAAGCAGGGGAUCUUCGGACCUUACGCGAUUGAAUGAGCCGAUGUCGGAUUAGCUAGUUGGCGGGGUAAAGGCCCACCAAGGCGACGAUCCGUAGCUGGUCUGAGAGGAUGAUCAGCCACACUGGAACUGAGACACGGUCCAGACUCCUACGGGAGGCAGCAGUGGGGAAUAUUGGACAAUGGGCGCAAGCCUGAUCCAGCCAUACCGCGUGGGUGAAGAAGGCCUUCAGGUUGUAAAGCCCUUUUGUUGGGAAAGAAAAGCAGCAGGUUAAUACCCCGCUGUUCUGACGGUACCCAAAGAAUAAGCACCGGCUAACUUCGUG